rnacentral:lncRNA from 1 species
GGAGAGGACUGGUUUUUGUGUGGGUUGUGUAAUUCAUUCAUUCAUUCAUUCAUUCAUUCAUUCAUUUUUGGCCACCCCAUGGCACAUGGAGUUCCCGGGCUGGGAAUCAGAUCCGAGCUGAAGUUGUGACCUAAGCCAUGGCUGUGGCAAUGCUGGAUCCUUAACCCGCUGUGCUGGGCUGGGAAUCGAACCUGCAUUCCAGUGCUCCUAAGAUGCCCCCAAUCCGGUUGCUCCCCCAAGGGAACACCUGUGUGUUUUUUUUUUGUUUGUUUGUUUGUUUUUUAUUUUUUUUUAACUGUUGAAUUGAAGAGUGAUAUACUUGCAAAAUAAAAAUGUGCUCCUAUCAGGCAUAGACACCUUGGCAGUGAGCAUGCCCACAUUAUCAUCCCUCAAGCUAUAACCUUAUGCUUUUUGCUGAUUUUAUGGGGAACAAAUAGGUCUCACUGUGACUUGACUUUGUUUCCCAAUUUCUAGUGAGGUUGAGCAUCCAAUUUCCAUUCAUAUUUACUCUUUUGUAAAUUGAUACCAACAGCUAACACUUCUCGAAGGUUUCCCAUGAGCCAGAUAUUCUUCUAGGUGCUUUGCUCGCAUCAACUCACAUAAUCCUCACAGUGGUCCUUUAUGAUAUGCUGUUAUUAUCUCCACUUUGCUGGGGAGGAAACUGAGGCAGUUACAUGGCUAGUUACUUCCCAUAGUUACAUAAUUAGUCAGUGGUGAAGCCAGAAUUUGAAUCUGGACAGUCUGGUUCAGUGUUUGGGUUCAUAAUCUCUGUGCUAUCCCUAUAUAUAUAUAUAUGAUUCAUGUUUUAGGGAUCUGUUACUGUAUAACUCAUGACUCCUAGACUUAGCUGGAAAUGGCAACCAUGUAUUAGCUCAUAAUUUCUGAGUAUCAGAGAUCGGGGAGGGGCUUAGCUAUGUUGCUCUGUGUGUCAGGAUGUCUCAUGAAGUCAAGUUGUCAGCUGUGGCUGUGGUCAUCUGAAGAUUUGACUGGGGCUGGAGAAUCUGCUUCCAUGGUGGGUCACGACAUGGCUACUGCAUCCUCAGUUCCUUGCUGCAUGGACCAUUCCAUAGAAAUCAGGAGGAAUGUUCCUGGAGUUGAGUGACAGCCCUGAAUGUUAUUGGCAGAUACAAAGUUGAUUGUUAAACUGCUGUAUGUUAACGUGUCCAUAGACGCAUAGGACAAUUCCAGUCUCUUUGGUAACCUAUGUUUUUAUUUGCUAAAUCUAGUGACCCUGGAUGUGAGGGAAGGGGCCUGGAGGCAGGAAGGAAAACGGUGUCUGUGGGAAGAUCACAGGGCUCAGAGGCCUUAGCAUAAUGUGGGUGUGAGGAAAACAGACGUGCAUUUGCAUUUCCUGUGUGGGUACAGUGUGAGAAAAGCAUGAAGUAAAGCUUCAAAAUAGGUAGAGUCCAGUUUUUUACUUUUUCUUUUCUUUGUAGG